UACGGGGGGUGCGAGCGUUGUCCGGAAUCACUGGGCGUAAAGGGCGCGUAGGUGGCAUGAUAAGGGGGUGGUGAAAGCCCGGGGCUCAACCCCGGGUCUGCCAUGCCGACUGUCACGCUAGAGUACUGUAGGGGCAGGCGGAAUUCCGGGUGUAGCGGUGGAAUGCGUAGAGAUCCGGAGGAAGACCGGUGGCGAAGGCGGCCUGCUGGGCAGUUACUGACACUGAGGCGCGACAGCGUGGGGAGCAAACAGG
rnacentral:rRNA from 1 species